UACGGAGGGUGCAAGCGUUAUCCGGAUUCACUGGGUUUAAAGGGUGCGUAGGUGGGUUGGUAAGUCAGUGGUGAAAUCUCCGGGCUUAACCUGGAAACUGCCAUUGAUACUAUCAAUCUUGAAUACCUUGGAGGUGAGCGGAAUAUGUCAUGUAGCGGUGAAAUGCUUAGAUAUGACAUAGAACACCAAUUGCGAAGGCAGCUCACUACGGAUUGAUUGACACUGAGGCACGAAAGCGUGGGGAUCAAACAGG
rnacentral:rRNA from 1 species